UACGUAGGGAGCGAGCGUUGUCCGGAAUCAUUGGGCGUAAAGCGCGCGUAGGUGGCCACAUAAGUCCGUUGUGAAAGUCAAAGGCUCAACCUUUGAAAGCCGGUGGAUACUGUCGGGCUAGAGUACGGAAGAGGCAAGUGGAAUUCCUGGUGUAGCGGUGGAAUGCGCAGAUAUCAGGAGGAACACCCAUAGCGAAGGCAGCUUGCUGGGACGUUACUGACACUGAGGUGCGAAAGCGUGGGGAGCAAACAGG
rnacentral:rRNA from 1 species